rnacentral:misc_RNA from 1 species
GAUGAAGAACUUAGCGAAAUGCGAUAAGUAGUGUGAAUUGCAGAAUUCAGUGAAUCAUCGAAUCUUUGAACGCACAUUGCGCCCCUUGGUAUUCCAUGGGGCAUGCCUGUUCGAGCGUCAUUUGUACCCUCAAGCUUUGCUUGGUGUUGGGUGUUUGUCCUCUCCUUUGCGUUUGGACUCGCCUUAAAGCAAUUGGCAGCCAGUGUUUUGGUAUUGAAGCGCAGCACAUUUUGCGAUUCUAGCCGAUAAUACUUGCGUCCAUAAGCCUUUUUUAACUUUUGACCUCGGAUCAGGUAGGGAUACCCGCUGAACUUAAGCAUAUCAAUAAGCGGAGGA